rnacentral:rRNA from 1 species
UACAUGUGGGGCAAGCGUUGUUCGGAAUUACUGGGCAUAAAGGGUGCGUAGGCGGUUUGUUAAGUCACUGGUGAAAGUUUUCGGCCCAACCGGAAAAUGGCCUGUGAUACUGGCGAACUUGAGUGCGUGAGGGGUGGGGGGAACGAGCAGUGUAGCGGUGAAAUGCGUAGAUAUUGCUCGGAAGGCCGGAGCCGAAGGGGCCCCACUGGUACGUAACUGACGCUGAGGCACGAAGGCCAGGGGAGCAAACGGG